CCCCAUCACUGACAGCAAACACAAUGUCACAGUGACACUGAUGCUGUGGCUUCUGUGCCCUGCCAGGAACAUCUGGUGUCCUGGUGUCUGGCAGCAACAGCUGAUGCUGCACAUGCCUUUUGGAAGAGGAAGACAAAACCACCAUCAGGUUUGAGUGGUCCAGUUGGCAUCUGUGACAUCCAUCCUGCAACAUUCCACAGAUGGAGAUGGACUUGACCAUAAAUCUAUGCAUGGGAUGUGCAAGGAUGUCAUAUAAACCUUUCAGCCUGGGAAGUUAUGGCUAUUCUGCUAAGGGGAACUGCAGCUGCUGGUAUCUGUCUUCCUUCUGAGGUGCAGUUUUCAUGCACAUUAGUCACCCUGAGCAGCCUGCACAAAGUUGAUCCUGACCUGCACCGUGCCAUCUUUUGCCAGCAGGCUUCACUGCUAAUCUACCAUGAAGGAUGCUUCAUUUGCCGCCAGCAUGAAGAUGUCACCUAUGCUGUGUGCAGGACUGCCAGUAGCACGGAUGGUCUCUCUGCAGGGGUGGCAUGGAGGAACAGCCCUGCAUCAGAAAGAUGUUUCAAAACACUGUACAAAGAAAAUGAAUGGUGUGCCUGGGGUAGGCUGCUAGGCUCAGAGGAAAGGCUAUGA
rnacentral:lncRNA from 1 species